AAUCCUUCUUUUCAGAUUUUCUAAAUGCCUUCAGCUGUGAAAUAGGAGAGUUUGUAAGCAAUUAUUCGUCAAGCACCGGGUGUGAGCCCCACACUCCGCUAAGAGCUACAAAGAUUAACAAUAAAUGAAAAAUGUAUGUAUAUGAUAAUCUUAACCUUAAGGACCUCAUAAUCUAGUCAUGAAGAAGAUAUGGAUACAAAAGAAAAACACACUGAAAAAACAGGACAACGUAGAGUUAAGGCCAAUUAGGUGAGAACACUGCUGGAUGGAUUCGUAUAUGCCAGAGGCAGAGGGUGGACAGUGCUGAGGUCUGGCUCUGCGAAAGAGGGACAGGAGCCAGCUUGAAGAACUCCUUUCAACAUUUCUUGUAAGGCAGAUCUAGUGGUGAUAAAGUCUCUCAGCUUUUGUUUGACUGGGAAAGUCUUUAUAUCUCCUUUAUUUUUGAAGCACAGCUUUAACAGGAAGAUUAGCCCUGAGCUAACAUCUGCUGCCAAUCCUCCUCUUUUUGCUGAGGAAGCCUGGUCCUGAGUUCACAUCCACGCCCAUCUUCUUCUACUUUAUAUGUGGGACGCCUGCCACAGCAUGGCUUGACAAGCAGUGCCAUG
rnacentral:lncRNA from 1 species